rnacentral:rRNA from 1 species
GAGUUUGAUCCUGGCUCAGGAUGAACGCUGGCGGCGUGCUUAACACAUGCAAGUCGAACGAAGCACCUUGAUUUGAUUCUUCGGAUGAAGAUCUUGGUGACUGAGUGGCGGACGGGUGAGUAACGCGUGGGUAACCUGCCUCAUACAGGGGGAUAACAGUUAGAAAUGACUGCUAAUACCGCAUAAGACCACAGCACCGCAUGGUGCAGGUGGGAAAAACUCCGGUGGUAUGAGAUGGACCCGCGUCUGAUUAGGUAGUUGGUGGGGUAACGGCCUACCAAGCCAACGAUCAGUAGCCGACCUGAGAGGGUGACCGGCCACAUUGGGACUGAGACACGGCCCAAACUCCUACGGGAGGCAGCAGUGGGGAAUAUUGCACAAUGGGGGAAACCCUGAUGCAGCAACGCCGCGUGAGUGAAGAAGUAUUUCGGUAUGUAAAGCUCUAUCAGCAGGGAAGAUAAUGACGGUACCUGACUAAGAAGCUCCGGCUAAAUACGUGCCAGCCGCCGCGGUAAUUC